AAAGCAUGGUGAGAGCAUUUUCUAAGCAUAUACUUAAAUCUCUCCCAACUUUCUUGAAGAAAUUCUCCGUCAAAUUUGGAAAAAAAAAGUAAUAUCGUUUCUAAGUUU